GAUGAACGCUGGCGGCGUGCCUAAUACAUGCAAGUCGAGCGAACAGACGAGGAGCUUGCUCCUCUGACGUUAGCGGCGGACGGGUGAGUAACACGUGGAUAACCUACCUAUAAGACUGGGAUAACUUCGGGAAACCGGAGCUAAUACCGGAUAAUAUAUUGAACCGCAUGGUUCAAUAGUGAAAGACGGUUUUGCUGUCACUUAUAGAUGGAUCCGCGCCGCAUUAGCUAGUUGGUAAGGUAACGGCUUACCAAGGCAACGAUGCGUAGCCGACCUGAGAGGGUGAUCGGCCACACCGGAACUGAGACACGGUCCAGACUCCUACGGGAGGCAGCAGUAGGGAAUCUUCCGCAAUGGGCGAAAGCUUGACGGAGCAACGCCGCGUGAGUGAUGAAGGUCUUCGGAUCGUAAAACUCUGUUAUUAGGGAAGAACAAAUGUGUAAGUAACUAUGCACGUCUUGACGGUACCGAAUCAGAAAGCCACGGCUAACUACGU
rnacentral:rRNA from 1 species